UUGGCGCGAUUAAAUGCAGAAGAGGUUUCCAAGGCUGCUGCUGAAGCAAGAAAAAGCUUAAGAUAGAAGAGAUUGUGACUGAAAUGGGUGGUCUUCUACGUGCUAAAGCAUCACUGGAUUUGAACUUUGUCAUUGUGAAAAAUGUUUUGGCUGCAAAAUACAAGAUUUUUUUAGUAUCUAAAACUUUUUCAGGCUUUGGGCCUUGCUUAUCAGCGACUGGGCAGGUAUACUGCAGCCAUAAAGUCUUAUGGCCGUGCCAUCGAGUUGGAUGAUAAGAUGGUCUUUGCUUUGGUUGAAAGCGGAAAUAUCUCGUUGACACUUGGUUCAUUUAGGAAGGGAGUUGAACAAUUUCGACAAGCUUUGGAGAUUUCAUCACAAUGUGUGCCUGCACAAUAUGGGCUUGCUUUGGGGCUUCUUUGUUUAGCAAAAGAUUGCAUGAACCUGGGAGCAUUUAAGUGGGGGGCUUCUUUAUUAGAGCUUUGUUUUAUAGAAAUUGUUUGGAUGCUGUGGCAUUCAUUUUU